rnacentral:rRNA from 1 species
GAUGAACGCUGGCGGCGUGCCUAACACAUGCAAGUCGAACGGAGUCCAGCCUUUAAGGCCUUCCUGUCGAAGAGGGGAAGACUGAGUGGCGGACGGGUGAGUAACACGUGUGCAACCUGGCUCAUUUCGGGGGAUAACAGAGAGAAAUUUCUGCUAAUACCGCAUACGCACACACUGCCGCAUGGCCGAGGGUGAAGAGAGAAUCGCUAUGAUAUGGACCCGCGUCUGAUUAGCCUGUUGGCAGGGUAAGAGGAUACCACAGCGACGAUCAGUAGCCGAUCAGAGAGGAAGAACGGCCACAUUGAGACUGAGAAACGGCCGAAACUCCUACGGGAGGGAGCAGUGGGGGAUAGUGCAAAAUGGGGGGAACCAUGAUGCAGCGACGAUGCGUGAGUGAAGAAGUAAGGCGGUAUGUAAAGCUCUAUCAGCAGGGAAGAUAAUGACAGUACCUGAAUAAGAAGCCCCGGCUAACUACGUG